UCGAUUUUCCGGUUGAUCCCGCCGGACCCGACCGCUAUCGGGGUAAGGCUAAGCCAUGGGAGUCGUACGCCCUGCCGCUGCAGGGCGUGGCGCAAGGCUGAGUAACACGUGGCUAACCUACCCUCUGGAGGGGGAUAACCUCUCGGGAAACUGGGGCUAAUCCCCCAUAGGUGGGGAGGCCUGGAAGGGUUCCCCGCCGAAAGGGAGCAUGGGGGGUUAUCGCCUAUGCUCCGCCAGAGGAUGGGGCUGCGGCCUAUCAGGUAGUUGGCGGGGUAAAGGCCCGCCAAGCCGAAGACGGGUAGGGGCCGUGAGAGCGGGAGCCUCCAGAUGGGCACUGAGACAAGGGCCCAGGCCCUACGGGGCGCACCAGGCGCGAAAACUCCGCAAUGCGGGAAACCGUGACGGGGUUACCCCGAGUGCUCCCCUUGUGGGAGCUAAACCCCGCUGUAAAAAGGCGGGGGAAUAAGCGGGGGGCAAGUCUGGUGUCAGCCGCCGCGGUAAUACCAGCCCCGCGAGUGGUCGGGGUGUUUAUUGGGCCUAAAGCGGCCGUAGCCGGCCCGGUAAGUCCUCCCUGAAAGCCCCAGGCUCAACCCGGGGAGCGGGAGGAUACUGCCGGGCUAGAGGGCGGGAGAGGCCGAGGGUACUCCCGGGGUAGGGGCGAAAUCCUGUAAUCCCGGGAGGACCACCAGUGGCGAAGGCGCUCGGCUGGAACGCGCCUGACGGUGAGGGCCGAAAGCCGGGGGAGCGAACCGGAUUAGAUACCCGGGUAGUCCCGGCUGUAAACGAUGCGGGCUAGGUGUUAGGCGGGCGGGAGAGCCUGCCUAGUACCGCAGGGAAGCCGUUAAGCUCGCCGCCUGGGGAGUACGGCCGCAAGGCUGAAACUUAAAGGAAUUGGCGGGG
rnacentral:rRNA from 1 species